rnacentral:rRNA from 1 species
GACGAACGCUGGCGGCGUGCUUAACACAUGCAAGUCGAACGAGUGGCGCACGGGUGUGUAAUACGUGGGUAACCUGCCCUCUGUUUGGGAUUAGCUUCUGAAACGGGUUCUAAUUCCCACUAAGGGGGAUGGGCUCGCGGCCUAUCUGCUUGUUGGGGGGGUGAUGGCCCACCAAGGCGGUCACGGGGUGCCGGGCGGAGAGGGUGAACGGGCACUGUGUGACGGGGCAAAGGCCCAUGCGCCUACGGGGGGGGGCAGUGGGGGAUAUUGCAGAAUGCGCGAGAGCGUGAUGCAGCGACGCGGAGUGGGGGAUGAGGGCUUUCGAGUUGUAAACCUGUGGCGCUAUCGAACGGGUAGGUGGAGAAGAAGCGCCGGCUAACUACGUGCCAGCCGCCGCGGUAAUUC